rnacentral:tRNA from 1 species
GGGGCUGUAGCUCAGCUGGGAGAGCACCUGCUUUGCAAGCAGGGGGUCAGCGGUUCGAACCCGCUCAGCUCCACCA